UUACGGCCACAUCAAGUUGAAACAACUGUUCCUGUGCGAUCACCGAGAUUAAGCAACGUCGAGCCUGGUCAGUACCUAGAUGGGUGACCGCUUCGGAAUACCAGGUGCUGUAA